rnacentral:rRNA from 1 species
AACGAACGCUGGCGGCAUGCCUAACACAUGCAAGUCGAACGAGACCUUCGGGUCUAGUGGCGCACGGGUGCGUAACGCGUGGGAACCUGCCCUUAGGUUCGGAAUAAUUCCCCGAAAGGGGUGCUAAUACCGGAUAAUGUCUUCGGACCAAAGAUUUAUCGCCUUUGGAUGGGCCCGCGUUGGAUUAGCUAGUUGGUAGGGUAAAAGCCUAUUAAGGCGACGAUCCAUAGCUGGUCUGAGAGGAUGGUCAGCCACACUGGGACUGAGACACGGCCCAGACUCCUACGGGAGGCAGCAGUGGGGAAUAUUGGACAAGGGGCGAAAGCCUGAACCAGCAAUGCCGCGUGAGUGAUGAAGGCCUUAGGGUAGUAAAGCUCUUUUACCCGGGAUGAUAAUGACAGUACCGGAAGAAUAAGCUCCGGCUAACUCCGUG